GGGAAUAUUGGACAAUGGGCGAAAGCCUGAUCCAGCAAUGCCGCGUGAGUGAUGAAGGCCUUAGGGUUGUAAAGCUCUUUUACCCGGGAUGAUAAUGACAGUACCGGGAGAAUAAGCUCCGGCUAACUCCGUGCCAGCAGCCGCGGUAAUACGGAGGGAGCUAGCGUUGUUCGGAAUUACUGGGCGUAAAGCGCACGUAGGCGGCUUUGUAAGUCAGAGGUGAAAGCCUGGAGCUCAACUCCAGAACUGCCUUUGAGACUGCAUCGCUUGAAUCCGGGAGAGGUGAGUGGAAUUCCGAGUGUAGAGGUGAAAUUCGUAGAUAUUCGGAAGAACACCAGUGGCGAAGGCGGCUCACUGGACCGGUAUUGACGCUGAGGUGCGAAAGCGUGGGGAGCAAA
rnacentral:rRNA from 1 species